CCAGUAGCGGCGAGCGAACGGGGAGCAGCCCAGAGCCUGAAUCAGUGUGUGUGUUAGUGGAAGCGUCUGGAAAGGCGUGCGAUACAGGGUGACAGCCCCGUACACAAAAAUGCACAUACUGUGAGCUCGAUGAGUAGGGCGGGACACGUGGUAUCCUGUCUGAAUAUGGGGGGACCAUCCUCCAAGGCUAAAUACUCCUGACUGACCGAUAGUGAACCAGUACCGUGAGGGAAAGGCGAAAAGAACCCCGGCGAGGGGAGUGAAAAAGAACCUGAAACCGUGUACGUACAAGCAGUGGGAGCACGCUUAGGCGUGUGACUGCGUACCUUUUGUAUAAUGGGUCAGCGACUUAUAUUCUGUAGCAAGGUUAACCGAAUAGGGGAGCCGAAGGGAAACCGAGUCUUAACUGGGCGUUAAGUUGCAGGGUAUAGACCCGAAACCCGGUGAUCUAGCCAUGGGCAGGUUGAAGGUUGGGUAACACUAACUGGAGGACCGAACCGACUAAUGUUGAAAAAUUAGCGGAUGACUUGUGGCUGGGGGUGAAAGGCCAAUCAAACCGGGAGAUAGCUGGUUCUCCCCGAAAGCUAUUUAGGUAGCGCCUCGUGAAUUCAUCUCCGGGGGUAGAGCACUGUUUCGGCAAGGGGGUCAUCCCGACUUACCAACCCGAUGCAAACUGCGAAUACCGGAGAAUGUUAUCACGGGAGACACACGGCGGGUGCUAACGUCCGUCGUGAAGAGGGAAACAACCCAGACCGCCAGCUAAGGUCCCAAAGUCAUGGUUAAGUGGGAAACGAUGUGGGAAGGCCCAGACAGCCAGGAUGUUGGCUUAGAAGCAGCCAUCAUUUAAAGAAAGCGUAAUAGCUCACUGGUCGAGUCGGCCUGCGCGGAAGAUGUAACGGGGCUAAACCAUGCACCGAAGCUGCGGCAGCGACGCUUAUGCGUUGUUGGGUAGGGGAGCGUUCUGUAAGCCUGUGAAGGUGUGCUGUGAGGUAUGCUGGAGGUAUCAGAAGUGCGAAUGCUGACAUAAGUAACGAUAAAGCGGGUGAAAAGCCCGCUCGCCGGAAGACCAAGGGUUCCUGUCCAACGUUAAUCGGGGCAGGGUGAGUCGACCCCUAAGGCGAGGCCGAAAGGCGUAGUCGAUGGGAAACAGGUUAAUAUUCCUGUACUUGGUGUUACUGCGAAGGGGGGACGGAGAAGGCUAUGUUGGCCGGGCGACGGUUGUCCCGGUUUAAGCGUGUAGGCUGGUUUUCCAGGCAAAUCCGGAAAAUCAAGGCCGAG
rnacentral:rRNA from 1 species